CAAAUUUCAGUUCACAAAUCUGAGUGAUAUUGGACAAGAUGAGGGGCAAUCCUGCACCGAAAAGCAAUAGGCAAAUGGUGGCAAGUCAACAUGGAGAAGAAAUUGGAUCUCACUGACACAAUAAAAGAUGGAGCACACCUUUGUGCCUGAUCGAUUCUCGGAUCAGGAGACAUCUUAUAGUGGCUUUCACCAUGGACUCUUCCAAGCUGCAUGUAGAAGAGCUGUGUUCUCCCUCUCAGCUUGUUGAUAUAUUCAGACUGGUGGAAGAUCAGUUAGGUUUAUAUACCUUCAGUUGCUCUUGAGGUUCUCCAAGGUAUGUCGACCAAACAAACUCGAAUUUAUGGACAUCGGUUCAGCUGAGUAGUCACUGAUUUAAGCUAAAGCCAUCUAUCACCUUCCCUAAAAAAAAUGAGAGAGAGAGAGAGAGUGUGACAGAUUACUGGUUCCGUAGGAAAUUAUAAUCCACUUUGUAAAAAUCAAUCCAUUUCUUAAUUAGAAAUCUUAUGAAUUUGUAAUCCAGUAAAAAAUCAUUCGAUCUAAAGGCGCCUUGAAUUUGGUAGCUAGUUAGUUAUACUACCCAAGCUAUAUGUUUCGUGCACAUGUGUCGAAAUGCUUCCGAGCUCAACCUGUA